rnacentral:tRNA from 1 species
UCCUUCUUAGCUCAGCUGGUAGAGCGCGUCACUAGUAAAAAAAUCACGUGAUUAAUCGCGGGCAACCAACUAGGCUAUGACGAGGUCAGUCGUUCAAGUCGGCUAGAAGGAA